AUACAUGCAAGUCGAGCGGACAGAUGGGAGCUUGCUCCCUGAUGUUAGCGGCGGACGGGUGAGUAACACGUGGGUAACCUGCCUGUAAGACUGGGAUAACUCCGGGAAACCGGGGCUAAUACCGGAUGCUUGAUUGAACCGCAUGGUUCAAUUAUAAAAGGUGGCUUUUAGCUACCACUUACAGAUGGACCCGCGGCGCAUUAGCUAGUUGGUGAGGUAACGGCUCACCAAGGCAACGAUGCGUAGCCGACCUGAGAGGGUGAUCGGCCACACUGGGACUGAGACACGGCCCAGACUCCUACGGGAGGCAGCAGUAGGGAAUCUUCCGCAAUGGACGAAAGUCUGACGGAGCAACGCCGCGUGAGUGAUGAAGGUUUUCGGAUCGUAAAACUCUGUUGUUAGGGAAGAACAAGUACCGUUCGAAUAGGGCGGUACCUUGACGGUACCUAACCAGAAAGCCACGGCUAACUACGUGCCAGCAGCCGCGGUAAUACGUAGGUGGCAAGCGUUGUCCGGAAUUAUUGGGCGUAAAGCGCGCGCAGGCGGUUUCUUAAGUCUGAUGUGAAAGCCCCCGGCUCAACCGGGGAGGGUCAUUGGAAACUGGGGAACUUGAGUGCAGAAGAGGAGAGUGGAAUUCCACGUGUAGCGGUGAAAUGCGUAGAGAUGUGGAGGAACACCAGUGGCGAAGGCGACUCUCUGGUCUGUAACUGACGCUGAGGCGCGAAAGCGUGGGGAGCGAACAGGAUUAGAUACCCUGGUAGUCCACGCCGUAAACGAUGAGUGCUAAGUGUUAGAGGGUUUCCGCCCUUUAGUGCUGCAGCAAACGCAUUAAGCACUCCGCCUGGGGAGUACGGUCGCAAGACUGAAACUCAAAGGAAUUGACGGGGGCCCGCACAAGCGGUGGAGCAUGUGGUUUAAUUCGAAGCAACGCGAAGAACCUUACCAGGUCUUGACAUCCUCUGACAACCCUAGAGAUAGGGCUUCCCCUUCGGGGGCAGAGUGACAGGUGGUGCAUGGUUGUCGUCAGCUCGUGUCGUGAGAUGUUGGGUUAAGUCCCGCAACGAGCGCAACCCUUGAUCUUAGUUGCCAGCAUUCAGUUGGGCACUCUAAGGUGACUGCCGGUGACAAACCGGAGGAAGGUGGGGAUGACGUCAAAUCAUCAUGCCCCUUAU
rnacentral:rRNA from 1 species